rnacentral:rRNA from 1 species
CCCUACGGGGCGCAGCAGUGAGGAAUAUUGGUCAAUGGGCGGGAGCCUGAACCAGCCAAGCCGCGUGAGGGAAGAAGGUACAGCGUAUCGUAAACCUCUUUUGUCAGGGAACAAAGGCGGGGACUAGUCCCCGGAUGAGGGUACCUGAAGAAAAAGCAUCGGCUAACUCCGUGCCAGCAGCCGCGGUAAUACGGAGGAUGCGAGCGUUAUCCGGAUUUAUUGGGUUUAAAGGGUGCGCAGGCGGCCUGUUAAGUCAGCGGUAAAAGCCCGAGGCUCAACCCUGGCGAGCCGUUGAAACUGGCGGG